rnacentral:rRNA from 1 species
CCUACGGGAGGCAGCAGUGGGGAAUAUUGCGCAAUGGACGAAAGCCUGACGCAGCGACGCCGCGUGAGGGAUGAAGGUCUUCGGAUCGUAAACCUCUGUCAGCAGGGAAGAACGGUCACUGUGCUAAUCAGCAGUGCAUUGACGGUACCUGCAAAGGAAGCACCGGCUAACUCCGUGCCAGCAGCCGCGGUAAUACGGAGGGUGCGAGCGUUAAUCGGAAUUACUGGGCGUAAAGCGCUCGUAGGCGGUAUGUCAAGUCAAGGGUGAAAUCCCCGCGCUAAACGUGGGAACUGCCUUUGAAACUGGCAAACUGGAGUGUGUGAGAGGAUAGUGGAAUUCCAGGUGUAGGAGUGAAAUCCGUAGAUAUCUGGAGGAACAUCAGUUGCGAAGGCGACUAUCUGGCACAUAACUGACGCUGAGGAGCGAAAGCGUGGGUAGCAAACAGGAUUAGAUACCCCUGUAGUC